GCCACCAUGGCGCAACUGGCAGCGCAGCGCUCUUGUAAAGCGAAGGUUCGGGGUUCAAGUCCCCGUGGUGGCU
rnacentral:tRNA from 1 species